rnacentral:rRNA from 1 species
GAUGAACGCUGGCGGCGUGCCUAAUACAUGCAAGUCGAGCGAACAGACGAGGAGCUUGCUCCUCUGACGUUAGCGGCGGACGGGUGAGUAACACGUGGAUAACCUACCUAUAAGACUGGGAUAACUUCGGGAAACCGUAGCUAAUACCGGAUAAUAUAUUGAACCGCAUGGUUCAAUAGUGUAAGACGGUUUUGCUGUCUCUUAUAGAUGUUUCCGCGCCGCAUUAGCUAGUUGGUAAGGUAACGGCUUACCAAGGCAACGAUGCGUAGCCGACCUGAGAGGGUGAUCGGCCACACUGGAACUGAGAAACGGUACAGACUCCUACGGGAGGAAGCAGUAGGGAAUCUUCCGCAAUGGGCGAAAGCAUGACGGAGCAACGCCGCGUGAGUGAUGAGGGUCUUCGGAUCGUAAAACUCUGUUAUUAGGGAAGAACAAAUGUGUAAGUAACUAUGCACGUCUUGACGGUACCUAAUCAGAAAGCAACGGCUAACUACGUG